GCAGCGGAGUUGAUCCAUACCAUACGUCUCAGCCUCCGUGGAGCAACAAACUCAUCUCCUCUCUUGAUUAGAGAAACAGGCGCCGGCUACGGGAUUGCACUGUGCCUCCAUAAUAGAAGCAAGAUGUGAAGAAGAAGGCAGUGCAAGGUAACAUUAAUAUCAUCAUUGGAGCGCUGGAUAACAACAACCUUCCUGCACUACAUCACACACCCUGCAAAGUUGGCGAAGAUAUCGAAAUGCGUAGCUAGCAGCCAGCAGCGUUCAUGAGAAUCAUGCGACAUAUCUUUGUUUUGUUCGCGGGUUUUGUUUUGCAACAAGCCAUGGUGCUGGCGAUGGCGCUGGAGCAUGUGACACAAAAAUGAAAUCAAGAAAGAAAUUGCAAAAAAUCUCCCUCAUUCGUUUCAGAGAAAAAGCUUUUGCAAUCCGCCAAGCUGAUCGUAGUGGUUGUUUUCCCAACACCGCCCCCCCCAAACAACAAUGCAUUCGAAA
rnacentral:sRNA from 1 species